UACGUAGGGUGCGAGCGUUAAUCGGAAUCACUGGGCGUAAAGGGUGCGUAGGCGGGUCUUUAAGUCAGGGGUGAAAUCCUGGAGCUCAACUCCAGAACUGCCUUUAAAACUGCAUCGCUUGAAUCCAGGAGAGGUGAGUGGAAUUCCGAGUGUAGAGGUGAAAUUCGUAGAUAUUCGGAAGAACACCAGUGGCGAAGGCGGCUCACUGGACUGGUAUUGACGCUGAGGUGCGAAAGCGUGGGGAGCAAACAGG
rnacentral:rRNA from 1 species